GUUGUCUGUCAGUCUCUCUUCUGGCCAAUGAACGCGUCGCCUCCUCCCAUUUUUCUACAAAAGCCUCCGUUUCUCUCGCAGAAAACUCACAAUCGUCGCAUUCACAUGGGUCCCUUCCAUUCCCGCCUCUCCGGUGUUGCAGGUGAAAUUGUUUCGCCUGGGCACCGGAAAAAAAACUUGGGUAAAAUGGGACGUCGUAUCCGCAUCCCACUCGACUAUGCCGAGAGACAUGGUUACAUCAAGGGACUCGUGAAGGACAUCAUCCACGACCCAGGAAGAGGAGCCCCACUUGCUAUUAUCGCUUUCCGCGACCCAUACAAGGGAUGGGCCGGCUACGGAGAUCGCUGAGACUGCCAAAGAAGCGAAGAGAUCGGACUCAUUGAGCCCAGAUGUACCAGGCGGUUCAAAGACUGAACAGUGGCAGACAAACGGGUACCUGCUGCUUCAAUGUAAAAUAUCUGGGAUCAGUGGAACUGUACGAGUCUCGUGGGAUGCAAGUGGACUGUUGGUAGAGGACUGUUGGUAGAUCAGACGAAGGUUCCCAGUCGCAAUCACAAAAAUCAGAAAAUAAUCAGGAAAUCGAAGGGUUCUUGUGCCCAAUGUGUAUGGCAGAGCUUGGUGGACCUGAUGAACUUACUGUUCAUUUUGAAAAAGACCAUUCUGACACAUCAACCAACAGAAAUCAUCCCGAGUACACUCCCCCUCAGCAGUCUCCACUUGCAUUUUCUACAAAAGAUCAAGAAAUUGAAGAACUUCGGAUAAGAGUUGACGAAGAGAAACGUUUUGCUGAACGGAUAAAAGAAGAAAUCGGCAACUACGCCAACGUCAUCGCCCACAACGCAGACACCAAGAAGACACGUAUCCGCCUCCCAUCCGGAGCCAAGAAGGUCGUUCAAUCGGUCAACCGCGCCAUGAUUGGACCCCGAAUGCAUAACCAAAAAGUGGUAAUCCACGAUUCAAGAAAGAUCGAUGUCGUCUACACGAAAAAUGGACAGAAAGUACUUCAUUUUACAAACUUUAAAAUACAGCUCCUAAGCCGCGUGAGAAGAGAUGAGCAUUUUGUGACGACCAACUUCAUUCUUCGGAUUCGAAUGAAAAACGGGGUAGAUGGGGAAUGACCACCA
rnacentral:misc_RNA from 1 species